rnacentral:SRP_RNA from 1 species
GCCAGGUAUGCUGUCGCAUGCCUGUAAUCCCAGCUACUUGGGAGGCUGAGGCAGGAGAAUUGCUUGAACCUGGGAGGCGGAGGUUGCGGUGAGCCAAGAUCGUGCCAUUGCACUCCAGCCUGGGCAACAAGAGCGAAGCUCUGUCUCAAAAAAAAAAAAAAAAAAAAAAACCCAAAAAAAAAAAAUUGUUUGUUUUCCAUCUUUUUUUUUUUUUUUUUUUUGAGGGAGUCUCACUCUGUCACCCGGGCUGGAGUGCAGUGGCACGAUCUUGGCUCACUGCAACCUCUGCCUGCCAGGUUCACGCAGUUCUCCUGCCUC